AUCUCUUCCUGAGCCAUUUGUGUCAUUGUGAAUGUUUACUGGUGUUGCUAUUGUUCAAGUAAAACUGAAACGACACGAUAGCAGGAGCUUUGUUAAUUUUUGUGUGUUAUUAAUAUUUUCCUGCAUGGAAUCUGGGCGCUGCAGGUGACGUAUUGGAGUGACAUCAUCAAAACAUGGAUAAGCAAAGUAUGCGAUGAAACGAUCAAUAGAGCAAACGUAAAGCAAACCGUGAAAUCCGAACUGUACAGUUGCAUCGUUCCAGUUCAUUCUAUGCUCCGCACACAUCGAUGUUACCUGCCAGCGACGCUAUAGAAAUAUCAUGUACCGUUACAGCUCACAGACUUUCGUCGAUCUUUUCAAUGCUUCAAGUUUCACGAAAAGACAAAAGCAAAAUACUUUCUCUACAUGAGAGCUUUUUUGUCACGUCGUCGACAAUUCGUACCUUCUCAAAUCGUUGCAGACAGUGGCUAAGUUGUGUUUGCACAAUGUGAUUCGAUGGUCCGCGAUAGCUACUUAGCACUUUUUGGACCGAAGAUUUUACAAAAUAUGAUUCCGUCAAGAAAUCAAUAAACACACGAGAGAUAGACGAAAAACUAAUUUUCUUUCACUAAACAGCACCUACACAACCACAUUAGUUUGCAUGCACACUCACACACACACACACACACACACGCACCUACAUGUACAUAUAUAAA